rnacentral:rRNA from 1 species
CCCUUAGAUGUUCUGGGCUGCACGCGCGCUACACUGAUGCGCUCAACAAGUUUAUGACCUUGCCCGGAAGGGUUGGGUAAUCUUCUUAGCACGCAUCGUGAUGGGGAUAGAUUAUUGCAAUUAUUAAUCUUCAACGAGGAAUUCCUAGUAAGCGCGAGUCAUCAGCUCGUGCUGAUUACGUCCCUGCCCUUUGUACACACCGCCCGUCGCUCCUACCGAUUGGGUGUGCUGGUGAAAUGUUCGGAUCGGCCGUUUGUCGCGGUUUCCGCGUCAUGUGGCUGAGAAGUUCAUUAAACCCUCCCACCUAGAGGAAGGAGAAGUCGUAACA